GGAGAGGUGGCAGAGUGGUUGAAUGCGGCGGUCUUGAAAACCGUUGAAGGUUUAUAUCUUCCGGGGGUUCAAAUCCCUCCCUCUCCGCCA
rnacentral:tRNA from 1 species